rnacentral:lncRNA from 1 species
CCUCAUACCCAGCUCACUUGGCAAGAGGCACUUGACGGUAAAAGACGUUUUGCUGUUAGCCCCCUAACAAGGGCUCUGGCUUCAGGAAACCCUGGAAUGAGAGCCUUUUCAGAUGCUACAGACAAUGGCUCAUCCCUCCUCCCCACUGCCUCUGGCCAUCUGCCAGGAGGUCCCCUAAAGUAAUUCAAAGUGGCCUAGGUCAGACCAGUCUAGGCCAGGCCAAAUCUCUGAGCCCUCACUGGGAAGAAUCCCAUCCCCUCCUCAUCAGCACAGGGGAAGAGGGACAUGUGAUGAAGAUUUGACCUUGGCAGAAAUAGAUUGGAGAAGAAGAUGCCCCACACCACCAACAGAGUCCCACGCUGGCUCAGGCAGAAGCUCCAGAGCAAGAUCCAGAAGAACCUCAAGAACUAGGGCCAGCUCCAAGGCUAGAGCCCGCUACAGCUCAGAGCCACAGAUUCAGAUUCACAGCCAGAGGAGGCUCAAGCCACUGCUCUCAUUGAACUUUAAGACCUAGAACAACCACCUACAUCAUCUCCGCAACUAGCCUCAGCUACUGAGCUGCAAGGAGUGCCCGCUACUGCCCCCGAGAAUCCCUUCCCCUCCCUUGGUGGAGCCCCACCACUCAAAGAACAUAGGUCAUCAGAAAAACGAAACUCAGGGCUCACCCUUGAAGAAGAGUGAGAAGCUCCACUGAACAGCAAGCAGGUGAGAGUGGAGAACCUUGCGGACUAUGCAGAAGGACUAUCAUGGGCUGGGGCAGUGCCAUAAUCGUAAGGGGCACAAGCUUUCUGUUGAUUUGUGGGAAGUGGCCGGCAUUCAACCCAUUGAUGUUUC